GACGAACGCUGGCGGCGUGCUUAACACAUGCAAGUCGAGCGGUAAGGCCUUUCGGGGUACACGAGCGGCGAACGGGUGAGUAACACGUGGGUGAUCUGCCCUGCACUUCGGGAUAAGCCUGGGAAACUGGGUCUAAUACCGGAUAUGACCUCCUAUCGCAUGGUGGGUGGUGGAAAGAUUUAUCGGUGCAGGAUGGGCCCGCGGCCUAUCAGCUUGUUGGUGGGGUAAUGGCCUACCAAGGCGACGACGGGUAGCCGACCUGAGAGGGUGACCGGCCACACUGGGACUGAGACACGGCCCAGACUCCUACGGGAGGCAGCAGUGGGGAAUAUUGCACAAUGGGCGAAAGCCUGAUGCAGCGACGCCGCGUGAGGGAUGACGGCCUUCGGGUUGUAAACCUCUUUCAGCAGGGACGAAGCGCAAGUGACGGUACCUGCAGAAGAAGCACCGGCUAACUACGUGCCAGCAGCCGCGGUAAUACCUAGGGUGC
rnacentral:rRNA from 1 species